AAAGUGAAGCCGCGAAUAGCUCAUUACAACAGCCGUCGUUUCUUAGACCUCCGAGAUACUUGGAUACCUGUGGUAAUUCUAGAGCUAAUACACGCAAUCGAGCUCCGACCUUACGGGACGAGCGCAUUUAUUAGAACAAAACCAAUCAGUACAAUACUGUGGUUUGGUGACUCUGAAUAACUGUGCAAAUUGCUUCGGUCUUGUACCGGCAAUGUAUCUUUCAAGUGUCUGCCUUAUCAACUUUCGAUGGUAGUUUAUGUGCCUACCAUGGUUGUAACGGGUAACGGAGAAUUAGGGUUCGACUCCGGAGAGGGAGCCUGAGAAACGGCUACCACUUCUAAGGAAGGCAGCAGGCGCGCAAAUUACCCACUUUCAGAAGGAAGAGGUAGUGACGAAAAAUAACGAGAUGGAACUCUACUGAGAUCUGUCAUCGGAAUGAGAACAAUGUAAACCUUUUAACGAGGACCUAGUGGAGGGCAAGUCUGGUGCCAGCAGCCGCGGUAAUUCCAGCUCCACCAGUGUAUAUCUAUGCUGCUGC
rnacentral:rRNA from 1 species